GAUAAGAAACUUCUAGAACAAAACCCCGACCCUCCGUUAUUAUUACAAGAAGAAUAUUCCUAUCACGAGACAAUGAGGAAGCAGUCGAAGAGGCUGCAUUCGUGGCCUUCGAGAGAAGUGGAUGCUUUUGAAGAGGGGGGUUUAGGGUUUAGUUCUACAGAUUGUAUGCCUAGGAUGAAGACAUUGGAGACUACCGCUACACUAUCAGUUGCGAC
rnacentral:lncRNA from 1 species